rnacentral:misc_RNA from 1 species
AACCUUAUGGACCUGCGGGCGUAUACCUGCGGAAGGAUCAUUACACAAUAACAUAUGAAGGCUGUACGCGGCUGCGCCCUCGGGCCAGUUGGCUGAGGCUGGAGUAUUUAUUACCCUUGUCUUUUGCGCACUUGUUGUUUCCUGGGCGGGUUCGCCCGCCACCAGGACCACAUGAUAAACCUUUUUUUAUGCAGUUGCAAUCAGCGUCAGUACAACAAAUGUAAAUCAUUUACAACUUUU